UACAGAGGUCCCGAGCGUUGUUCGGAUUCACUGGGCGUAAAGCGUGCGUAGACGGUUACAUAAGUCGGGUGUGAAAGCCCCGGGCUCAACCUGGGAAUUGCAUUCGAGACUGCGUAGCUAGGGUGCGGAAGAGGGAAGCGGAAUUUCCGGUGUAGCGGUGAAAUGCGUAGAUAUCGGAAGGAACACCAGUGGCGAAAGCGGACUUCCUGGUCCAGCACCGA
rnacentral:rRNA from 1 species